AGCCUGAACGCUGGCGGCGUGGUUAAGACAUGCAAGUCGCACGGUGUAGCAAUACACAGUGGCGAACGGGUGAGUAAUGAAUCGCUAAUGUACCCCGGACUCUGGGAUAGCUAUCCGAAAAGGAUAGGUAAUACCAGAUGACAUAUCCCUUCCGCAUGGUUGGGAUCUCAAAGGUCCGCCGGUCUGGGAGCAGGCGAUUUUGUAUCAGCUAGUUGGUGAGGUAACGGCUCACCAAGGCGAUGACGCAUAGCCGGACUGAGAGGUUGGCCGGCCACAUUGGGACUGAGACACUGCCCAGACUCCUACGGGGGGCUGCAGUAACGAAUCUUCCGCAAUGCACGAAAGUGUGACGGAGCGACGCCGCGUGUGGGACGAAGCCCUUCGGGGUGUAAACCACUGUCAGAGGAUAGAAAGUUCUGAUCAUCCUCAGAGGAAGGCACGGCUAACUCUGCGCCAGCAGCCGC
rnacentral:rRNA from 1 species